rnacentral:rRNA from 1 species
AAUGAACGCUGACGGCAGGCCUAACACAUGCAAGUCGAACGAGGUAGCAAUACCUAGUGGCGGACGGGUGAGUAACGCGUGGGAACGUGCCCCUUGGUACGGAAUAGCCCUGGGAAACUGGGAGUAAUACCGUAUGUGGUCGAGAGACGAAAGAUUUAUCGCCAAGGGAUCGGCCCGCGUUGGAUUAGGUAGUUGGUGGGGUAAUGGCCUACCAAGCCGACGAUCCAUAGCUGGUUUGAGAGGAUGAUCAGGCACACGGUGACUGAGACACAGUCCAGACUCCGACGUGAGCCAGGAGUGGGGAAUCUUAUAGAAUGGGGGAACACCUGAUCUAGCCAUGCCGCGAGAUCUAUGAAUGCCUUGGGGUUGUAAAGAUCUGUCAGUGGUGAAGAUAAUGGCGGUAACAACACAAGAAGCCCCGGCUAACUCCGUGCCUGCCGCCGCUGUAA